rnacentral:rRNA from 1 species
AGAGUUUGAUUCUGGCUCAGAACGAACGCUGGCAGCGUGGAUUAGGCAUGCAAGUCGAACGGGAUUCUGUGCCGCCGCAAGGCGGUGCGGAUGAUAGUGGCGGAAGGGUGCGUAACGCGUGGGUAAUCUACCUCUAAGUUGGGGAUAACUUCGCGAAAGCGAGGCUAAUACCGAAUGUGAUGGUGCUACGCAUGUAGCAUUGAUUGAAGAUGGGGAUCCUUCGGGACCUGUCGCUUGGGGAGGAACCCGCGUCCUAUCAGCUUGUUGGUGAGGUAACGGCCCACCAAGGCUUACGGGUAGCUGGUCUGAGAGGAUGGCCAGCCACACUGGGACUGAGACACUGCCCAGACUCCUACGGGAGGCUCAGUCGAGGAUCAUUCGCAAUGCGCGAAAGCGUGACGAUGCGACGCUGCGUGGAGGAUGAAGGCCCUCGGGUUGUAAACUCCUGUCAUUCGGGAACAAUGAUUCCGCUAAGAAUACUAGCGGGAAGUGAUAGUACCGGAAGAGGAAGCCACGGCUAACUCUGUGCCAGCAGCCGCGGUAAUACAGAGGUGGCGAGCGUUGUUCGGAUUUACUGGGCGUAAAGGGUGCGUAGGUGGCUUGGCGUGUCGGGUGUGAAAGCUCACUGCUUAACGGUGAAACGGCAUUCGAAACUGCUUGGCUUGAGUGCAGGAGAGGAGAGCGGAAUUCUUGGUGUAGCGGUGGAAUGCGUUGAUAUCAAGAAGAACACCGGUGGCGUAGGCGGCUCUCUGGAAUGCAACUGACACUGAGGCACGAAAGUUGGGGGAGCAAACAGGAUUAGAUACCCUGGUAGUCCCAACCCUAAACGGUGUACACUUGGUGUGGGGAGAAUUGACCCUCUCCGUGCCGGAGCUAACGCGUUAAGUGUACCGCCUGGGGAGUACGGUCGCAAGAUUAAAACUCAAAGAAAUUGACGGGGGCCCGCACAAGCGGAGGAGCAUGUGGCUUAAUUCGAUGCAACGCGAAGAACCUUACCAGGGCUUGACAUGCAGCUGCACGUCCCGUGAAAGCGGGAUUCCUUCGAGGGUGCUGCACAGGUGCUGUAUGGCUGUCGUCAGUUCGUGCCGUGAGGUGUUGGGUUAAGUCCCGCAACGAACGCAACCCCUGUAUUUAGUUGCCACCGCAGGUGAUGAGCCUGUGAGCACUCUAGAUAGACUGCCCGUGACAAGCGGGAGGAAGGU